GGGGGAAUAUUGGACAAUGGGCGCAAGCCUGAUCCAGCCAUGCCGCGUGAGUGAUGAAGGCCCUAGGGUUGUAAAGCUCUUUUGUGCGGGAAGAUAAUGACGGUACCUGCAGAAAAAGCCCCGGCUAACUUCGUGCCAGCAGCCGCGGUAAUACGAAGGGGGCUAGCGUUAAUCGGAAUUACUGGGCGUAAAGCGUGCGUAGACGGUUUUGUAAGUCGGAUGUGAAAUCCCCGGGCUCAACCUGGGAAUUGCAUUCGAAACUGCAAGGCUUGGGUGCGGAAGAGGGAAGCGGAAUUUCCGGUGUAGCGGUGAAAUGCGUAGAUAUCGGAAGGAACAUCAGUGGCGAAGGCGGCUUCCUGGUCCAGCACCGACGUUCAGGCACGAAAGCGUGGGGAGCAAACAGGAUUAGAUACCCUGGUAGUCCACGCCAUAAACGAUGAGAACUAGACGUUGAGAGGGUAAGCCUCCCAGUGUCGUAGCUAACGCGCUAAGUUCUCCGCCUGGGGAGUACGGCCGCAAGGUUG
rnacentral:rRNA from 1 species